UGGGCUUAGGUUUCUGGAGAU
rnacentral:snRNA from 1 species